GACGAACGCUGGCGGCGUGCCUAACACAUGCAAGUCGAACGGAAAGGCCCUGCUUUUGUGGGGUGCUCGAGUGGCGAACGGGUGAGUAACACGUGAGUAACCUGUCCCUGACUUUGGGAUAACUUCAGGAAACUGGGGCUAAUACCGGAUAGGAGCUAUUGCCGCAUGGUGGGCGUUGGUAAGUUUCGGCGGUUGGGGAUGGACUCGCGGCUUAUGCGCUUGUUGGUGGGGUAGUGGCUUACCAAGGUUUUGACGGAUAGCCGGCCUGAGAGGGAGACCGGCCACAUAGAGACGGAGAUAGAGCCCGGACUCAUACGGGAGGGAGGAGGGAGGAGUAAUGCACAGAAAGCGGAGGCAUGAUGGAGCUACGCCGGGUGCGGGAUGGCGGCCUUCGGGUUGUAAGCCACUUUCGCCUAGGACGGAACGUAAGUAAGGGUAAUGGAUAAAAAGGCACCGGCAAAUUACGU
rnacentral:rRNA from 1 species